rnacentral:rRNA from 1 species
AUUGAACGCUGGCGGCAGGCCUAACACAUGCAAGUCGAGCGGAUGAGGGGUGCUUGCACCCCGAUUCAGCGGCGGACGGGUGAGUAAUGCCUAGGAAUCUGCCCGAUAGUGGGGGACAACGUUUCGAAAGGAACGCUAAUACCGCAUACGUCCUACGGGAGAAAGUGGGGGCUCUUCGGACCUCACGCUAUCGGAUGAGCCUAGGUCGGAUUAGCUAGUUGGUGGGGUAAAGGCUCACCAAGGCGACGAUCCGUAACUGGUCUGAGAGGAUGAUCAGUCACACUGGAACUGAGACACGGUCCAGACUCCUACGGGAGGCAGCAGUGGGGAAUAUUGGACAAUGGGCGAAAGCCUGAUCCAGCCAUGCCGCGUGUGUGAAGAAGGUCUUCGGAUUGUAAAGCACUUUAAGUUGGGAGGAAGGGUUGUAGGUUAAUACCUUGCAGCCUUGACGUUACCGACAGAAUAAGCACCGGCUAACUUCGUGCCAGCAGCCGCCGCAG